CGUGUAAAAUUUAGACCAGUGACCUAUCAAAAUGAGCAAGUCUUCAAUACAGUUAGCAUUAACAUGAUUAAGAAACUACUCCAUUGAUUCUACAAAAACAGAUGCCAACAAUGACAACUUGUUAGAUUUAAAUUUGUUUUAUGAAUUUAUUUCAAUCUUAAUCAUCAAUUUCUUCGUCUGUUGAAACCUUUAAGAUUUUUUUUUCUCAGUAUUUUUUUUGUUUUUUUAAAGCGACGGAACACCACUACUAACCGUGUAUGAAAUAAGCCCCGCCUCCCUACUACCUUUUAUGGAAUAUAAAGGGACGUAACUCCACUACUAACCGUGUAUG
rnacentral:lncRNA from 1 species